UUAUUUUCUUAUCAUCUCCAUGAGCCAUAAAUCCCUAAUCCAACAUUUUUCAAAUCUCAAAAUUCUCUGCUAUGCAGAGCUUCUUACAGUAGCUAGCACCUCUCUCGAACCCCUUAUUAUUACUGUUCCCCCCGAACCACCAAACUGAAUUUCUUUGCUGCUCCUCAAUCUCCACCGAACCAAAGAACCAAUAUAUCACCGGAUCCAAAAUGAACAGACCUAACACUGAUGCUAACGCUACUGCUGUCUUUCUAACUCUACUGCUAACACACUACCAAACAAAAGGUACUCGAAACUAUUUUUUUAAUUAUUAGGAAUGUAGCUGGAGGCUGGAGCGACGACCACACGAAGGCUGUCGCCGGAAUCUUGGUGGUGGUUCCCUUCGUCCUCCAGUCGGCGGCGACCUCACUCAAGAACUGUGGCACAGUGCCUGCGAGGCAGCCCGACGCUUCUGGCUCGCAAGCAUGGCGUUGCUCCGACUAAUCAAGGCCCCUGCAGCGGAUGAUGGUAAACAUUAGCAAUUAUUUCAUUUCGGCACAGGGUACGCUUAGAACAGAACAAAGUCGCGGAGCACAUACUCGUACUCCACAGCCGCCUCGGCCUCCUGGAUCU
rnacentral:lncRNA from 1 species